rnacentral:rRNA from 1 species
AACGAACGCUGGCGGCAUGCCUAACACAUGCAAGUCGAACGAGACCUCCCGGCCUUGUUGCGCACGUCUGCUUACCGCGUGGUAACUUGCCCUUAGGUUCGGAAUACCUCCCUGAAAGGUGUCCUAAUACCGCAUAGUCUCUUCGGACCUAAGAUUUACCGCUUUUUGAUGGGCCCGCGUUGGAUUAGCUAGUUGGUAGGGUAAAAGCCUAUCAAGGCGACGAUCCAUAGCUGGUCUGUGAGGAUGAUCAGCCACACUGGGAAUGAGACACGGACCAGAAUCGGACGGGAGGCAGCAGAGGGGAAUAUUAGAGGAUGGACGAAAGCCUGAUCAAGCAAUGCCGGGGGAGAGAUGAAGGGCUUAGGGUUGUGAAGCUCUUUUAGCCGAGAUGAGAAUGACAGUAACGGGAGAAUAAGCUCCGGCUAACUCCGUG